rnacentral:rRNA from 1 species
UACAGAGGUGGCAAGCGUUGUUCGGAAUUACUGGGCGUAAAGGGCGCGUAGGCGGCCUUGUAAGUCCUGUGUGAAAUCCCCCCGGCUCAACUGGGGAACUGCACAGGAGACUGCUUGGCUUGAGUUCGGGAGAGGGAAGCGGAAUUCCGGGUGUAGCGGUGAAAUGCGUAGAUAUCCGGAGGAACACCGGUGGCGAAGGCGGCUUCCUGGACCGACACUGACGCUGAGGCGCGAAAGCCAGGGGAGCAAACGGGG